rnacentral:tRNA from 1 species
GCCCAGGUAGCUCAGUUGGUAGAGCAGAGGACUGAAAAUCCUCGUGUCGGUGGUUCGAAUCCGCCCCUGGGCACCA